rnacentral:lncRNA from 1 species
UUGAGAUCCUGCUACCUCCAGAUAUUCAUGCCAGGCAUAUCUGAUUGAUGAUGCACGCAGCUCUGGAAGCUUUCUGCAUCAAGUCUGCACACUUUCCAUUAAAGCUUCUCUGUAGUAUGCGUGGAGACCACAGGACAGAACGUGGUGAAAUGUGAUGUGGAUGGAUAAGCUGCAUGGUAUCCCACCUACCUCCAGCUGAUGCUGCAGAAGAUCUCUUGUUUUCUGGCAAUCCCUUGACACUAACUGGAGGCUGCAGCCUGAUUUGAGGAACCUCUUUUUUCUACAUUUUGGAGAAAACCAAUGGAAUAAACAAGUAAAAACACAGAUGUUCAUCAAGGCAACAGAGAAAAGACAAAGAGCACAAAAGCCUCUAGGACCUGUUGGGAUGUACUUCCACUUGCAUGCUGCUAACACGGACUUUUCAAGUUCUGCUGGCUACUUGGGUGAUUUUCUAAAUUUCAGAUGACCCUCCACAUCCAACUAAAAUGGUA